GUGCCAGCCGCCGCGGUAAUACGUAGGUGGCAAGCGUUGUCCGGAAUUAUUGGGCGUAAAGCGCGCGCAGGCGGUCUCUUAAGUCUGAUGUGAAAGCCCCCGGCUCAACCGGGGAGGGUCAUUGGAAACUGGGAGACUUGAGUGCAGAAGAGAAGAGCGGAAUUCCACGUGUAGCGGUGAAAUGCGUAGAGAUGUGGAGGAACACCAGUGGCGAAGGCGGCUCUUUGGUCUGUAACUGACGCUGAGGCGCGAAAGCGUGGGGAGCGAACAGGAUUAGAUACCCUGGUAGUCCACGCCGUAAACGAUGAGUGCUAAGUGUUAGAGGGUUUCCGCCCUUUAGUGCUGCAGCAAACGCAUUAAGCACUCCGCCUGGGGAGUACGGCCGCAAGGCUGAA
rnacentral:rRNA from 1 species